GGCAUUUCUGUGUCAAGCACACAGCUUGUGGGUGCCUCACAGCCUCUGGCCCACCACGAUCCCAAAGACAAGUCCAGAAGCCAUGACUAUCUGUGGAGAACCCACUAUGUGCUGUGGAGUACCCACUAUGUGCCGCACCAGCUGUUUCCACAGGCAAUGAAGGUUCCGAUAAACUCAGGAGGCCUCAGGACAAACCCUAGAUGACUUCCGUCUAUGAGACAAGAGCAUACAAUUCCUGUCUCUAGUUGCAAGGGAAGCCGUGCCCUUCCUUGGGCUCAGUGGCUCCUUCAGCAGCUGAGCACCCUUGGUAUGUGUCUCUGGAGUCAAGGGCUGGGUUUGGCUGGCGAAACCCACUCCAUCCCUCAAACAACAGAGUACAGCUUGCCUCAAGUCCCCGGAAGCGUGGGGAUAAAAGAACCGUGUUACCAAGUCCGACUCCACUUCUAUCUCCGCUCUGCAACUAAUUUCUUUGUGUCUUUGACGAGUGUGUUCUGCUCGAAGCAGGUCUUAGCCUUAAAGGUGUACAUACGUUUGUAAUUCUCGAACCCAUUUGAAUUUCACC
rnacentral:lncRNA from 1 species